ACCGUGAGGGAAAGCUGCAAAGCACUUUGAAGAGAGAGUUAAAGAGGACGUGAAACCGGUAAGGUGGAAACGGAUAGAGUCGGCGUAUCAUUCAAUUAUUCAGUUACAUUAUUUUUAUGUUGUGACCUCUGAGCUCCAGAUUGGGACAGAGGGAAUCAGCAUAAUUUUUUGUGGUGCAUUUACUUGAUUGGUGCUUGGGGAUGUUUGAGGCAGAUUUGUUUCCGUCGUUUUGAGGCCAGCUUGCUGGUACCCAAACGGUGUUAGCAUUUUUUGUCUUGGGCAUUUGAGUAUGGCUCACGUGUAUUUAUUGGACAGAUCUGAGUGUAAGUUACGGUCGCAUGCGACACGUGCUUUUCAAUUAGUUCGGUCCAGUUAAUGCUCUCGUACUCGUUCCCCAUGUAAAAGCCGGUCAUCUAUCCGACCCGUCUUGAAACACGGACCAAGGAGUUUAUCGUGUGCGCAAGUUUUUGGGUGUUAAAAACUUAAAAGCGAAAUGAAAGUAAAUGACUCUUUAGAGUCUGAUGUGCGAUCUUGUAAAAAAGUGUAGCAUGGCCCCAUUCUAACUGUUUACAGUAGGGUGGCGGAAGAGCGUACGCGGUGAGACCCGAAAGAUGGUGAACUAUUCCUGAGCAGGACGAAGCCAGAGGAAACUCUGGUGGAAGUCCGAAGCGGUUCUGACGUGCAAAUCGAUCGUCUGACUUGGGUAUAGGGGCGAAAGACUAAUCGAACCAUCUAGUAGCUGGUUCCUUCCGAA
rnacentral:rRNA from 1 species